GGGUUAAUGUUGAUAACCUAAUGUCAUGAAAAGAGCUAUUGACAUAAAAAUAAUGCUCAAUAGGAUUACUCUGAGACUG